CUAUCUACAGUGCCUCGUUCACCCACUAAAGGCUUUUUACCACAUGAAUAGCAACUGGCUUGCUCCAAGGGUUUGAUCAAAUGCCGACAGAUAUGAAGGCAAAACUAGAACCCUUCAAACCCUUCUAUAGUCUUCGGAGGGAAGUGAACUCUACAAUUCUUCACAUUCGACUCCAGGCUGAGAAUUCACCAGAAGUUCUGCUUGCCUGAAUAGACAGCUGAUAUGAUCUGCUGUUGCCAUCCUUGUGCUGCCUUGGUUCCAGAUUUUGUCAUCGAACCCUGUGAAGACAUGAGCACCUGCACCUGACUUCAAGUACCAGAACCACAGUCCUAGUACCCAGAAAAGACUUACUCUGUUGCUAUGAAUUGUCAAAUAAAAUUUAAGUGAAACCA